GACUUUUUGUGCAAGUUGCCCCACCGAUAGACGAUCAACAGGAGGUUAUGCAAUUUAUAUGGGCCAAAAUCUGAUUUCUUGGUCGGCUAAGAAGCAACAUACCAUUACAUGUUCCUCAACCGAAUCCGAGUAUCGGGCAUUGGCAAAUGCCACGGCAGAAGUGGUAUGGCUACAAUCGUUGUUACAAGAAUUGGGCAUCUCUCACUCAAAACCCCCUAUCCUUUGGUGCGACAACCUAUGGGUAACGUAUCUUACGGUGAAUCCAAUUUUUCAUGCUAGAACAAAGCAUAUUGAGGUAGAUUUUCACUUUGUCCGCCAUUUAGUGUCACAACGCAAACUUGAGGUUCGCUUCAUAUCCACACGUGACCAAAUAGCGGAUAUCUUCACCAAGCCUCUUAUUCGUUGUUGCCAUG